AUUGAACGCUGGCGGCAUGCUUUACACAUGCAAGUCGAACGGUAACAGGCCUUCGGGUGCUGACGAGUGGCGAACGGGUGAGUAAUGCAUCGGAACGUACCCAGAGGUGGGGGAUAACGCAGCGAAAGCUGUGCUAAUACCGCAUGUGAUCUGAGGAUGAAAGCGGGGGACUGAGCAGAAUUUUUUGCCCUCGCGCCUUUGGAGGGCCCGAUGUCGGAUUAGCUAGUUGGUGGGGUAAAGGCCUACCAAGGCGACGAUCCGUAGCUGGUCUGAGAGGACGACCAGCCACACUGGGACUGAGACACGGCCCAGACUCCUACGAGAGGCAGCAGUGGGGAAUUUUGGACAAUGGGCGCAAGCCUGAUCCAGCAAUGCCGCGUGCGGGAAGAAGGCCUUCGGGUUGUAAACCGCUUUUGGCAGGAACGAAACGGUGUCCGCUAAUACCGGGCGCUAAUGACGGUACCUGCAGAAUAAGCACCGGCUAACUACGUG
rnacentral:rRNA from 1 species